AGAUGUGGAAGGGCAGAAGGCUGCAGAGGGGCAGGGACAGAGUAGAAAGGUGACUUGUGGCCAGAGGCAUAAACAAAAGGGUCUGUGUGACCCAGAAGGCAGAGGAAGAGGGCAGCAGGCUCAGGAGGAAGGCAGAAAGAAAAUACAUGGCAAAGGAAGAUGGGAGUUUAGGGGAACAUAGGUGGCUUGAGGAGGCAAGAGAUAUGGGGACAAGGAACAGAAAGCCGGGGAGCAAGAUGGGAGACAAAGGGGGGAGGAUAGGAUGGUUCACAUCAGAGAAGGAAAAGCACAUGCAGGAGACGAGGCUUCAGGGAGGGCAGACAUUCUAGGAGGACAAGGACAGCAAGCCUUGAGAGGAGGGCAGGACACUAAAGGAGCUCAGAUGUGCACUUGUAGGCUAGGAAGCUGAUGAGAAAGGCCGGAUGCCCAGGAAACAGUAGGGAACUCGGGAGCUUGGCACAAGGUGGGGCAAUAAGAGGAUGAGGGGCUGAGGAUGGAGGUUCAGGAGAUUCAAGGUAUUCUUGAAGUAGGUAGAAGGCUGGAGAGGAAGCUUGAGGGAUGCCAGAGGCUGGGAGAAAGCAAGCUGCUGAGGGGGAGGACGGGAGGCUACGGGGUAGAGGGGAAGAGGGCUCAUAGAGGAUGGGGGGAUGGCAGGAAACUCAGGAGGUAGGAGGAGGCUAGAGGAAUGCCCAGACCUAGGAUGACGAGCUAAGGCUGGCGAGGAGGCUUAGGAGAGCUUAGGAGGCUCUGGAAAGGCACAAAGCAUGGGUAGGAUGGAGCAGGACCUAGGUAGACUAGCAGGAGACUCUGGCAGGGAACAAUAGGCUGUUUAAGACCAAAGCUGGAAAAGCAGGGUAGAGAUCAGGGAGAUAGCAAGCAGGUCACAUAAAGACAGGUGCUACAGUAGGCAGAUAGCUCACGAGAUAAGGUGGUAGGCUAGAAUGGAUGUUCUGGUAGAAUUGAGGGGGUCACUAUAUGAGGAGAUAUGUGGGCAGAGCAGGGCAAUAGUCUGGGGACACAGGUCUGAUGCUGACUGGGAUAAGGAGGUUGACAGAAGGACAGGAUGGUGAGGAGGAAGGCAGGAGCUUAGGAGGAGGGGUCAAAGCACAGAAAGGGAAGAAGGCUGAGUGGGUGAUCCAGAAGAUGUAUAUGUCAGCAGCCUUGGAAGAAGCUGCUGAUAGGACAGCAGCUAAGGCAUAUGGCAUGGUAGGAGACUAAAGGAGAGUCCAGGAAUGAGGAGGAGUGCAAGAGGCUCAUGGGAAAGGAAGAAGAAACAGAGAGAGCUGGCUUGACAGGGCUGUGUAGAAGAGAGCAGAGGAUGGACCUGAGGUGACCGACACAGAGGACUACAGGAAGGCAUGAAAGAGGAAAGAAGGGAGGCAAGGGCAGGGUCAGAGGGCAUGCAUAGUGAAAAGAGCAAGCGUCUCAGGGGAGGGCAUGAAGCUGGUAGAAGAAGGAAGUAGGACAAGGAGGACAAGGACCAGAAGCUGUGAGGACUAGGAGCAAGGGUUGCAAGGCAAGAGGGAGAGGCUAAGCAACGGGUAGGGAAGAAGUCCAAGGCUAUAGUGCCGACAUGGAAAUGAGAAGAGUCUGAGGUGACAUGGGAAGUGGAGGGUAAGAAUCUGGAGAGGAAGGUAGGAGGAUCAGGAUGGGGUAGAAAGUUGCAGGAGGGGCAGGAAGCUAUGGGAGAGCUGAGGCACACUAGGAAAUGAGAGGGCUCAAGGGGCACUAUUAUCCAGGCA
rnacentral:lncRNA from 1 species